rnacentral:tRNA from 1 species
GGAGAGGCUGUGGCUAAGUGGUACAAGUGUCUGCUUGGCCUGCAAAAGAUCUCAGAUUCAAUCCCUGGUGUUUCCA